CAGCAGCCGCGGGAACACAGAGGGUGCAAGCGUUAAUCGGAAUUACCGGGCGUAAAGCGCACGCAGGCGGUUUGUUAAGUCAGAUGUGAAAUCCCCGAGCUUAACUUGGGAACUGCAUUUGAAACUGGCAGGCUAGAGUCUUGUAGAGGGGGGUAGAAUUCCAGGUGUAGCGGUGAAAUGCGUAGAGAUCUGGAGGAAUACCGGUGGCGAAGGCGGCCCCCUGGACAAAGACUGACGCUCAGGUGCGAAAGCGUGGGGAGCAAACAGGAUUAGAUACCCCAGUAGUCCCUGUCUCUUAUAU
rnacentral:rRNA from 1 species